GCUUGUUUACAUUGUGUUUUAAUUACGCACGUGUCUCCUUUAACGCUAGCACAUCGCUAUAAACGGGUACUAUUAAGAGAUACAAUAUACAAAGAGAGCGAGUAAACAUCUUUACGACAUCUUUACGACAUCUUUUUAAAGUCAUUUAGUUAAAAUUGGCUUUGAACUAGCUUUCAGUAACUUCGUAUUCACUUAGAAAAGAAGGUAAUAGAUUUCCAUCAACCUCGAGUUUGAUGGUUUUUAAUCAUUUUAUGAGUACUUAGCAUUGUG
rnacentral:lncRNA from 1 species